ACUCUGAUGCAGCGAUGCCGCGUGAGUGAAGAAGGCCUUUGGGUUGUAAAGCUCUUUCGUCGGGGAAGAAAAUGACUGUACCCGAAUAAGAAGGUCCGGCUAACUUCGUGCCAGCAGCCGCGGUAAUACGAAGGGACCUAGCGUAGUUCGGAAUUACUGGGCUUAAAGAGUUCGUAGGUGGUUGAAAAAGUUGGUGGUGAAAUCCCAGAGCUUAACUCUGGAACUGCCAUCAAAACUUUUCAGCUAGAGUUUGAUAGAGGAAAGCAGAAUUUCUAGUGUAGAGGUGAAAUUCGUAGAUAUUAGAAAGAAUACCAAUUGCGAAGGCAGCUUUCUGGAUCAUUACUGACACUGAGGAACGAAAGCAUGGGUAGCGAAGAGGAUUAGAUACCCUCGUAGUCCAUGCCGUAAACGAUGUGUGUUAGACGUUGGAAAUUUAUUUUCAGUGUCGCAGCGAAAGCGAUAAACACACCGCCUGGGGAGUACGACCGCAAGGUUAAAACUCAAAUGAAUUGACGGGGACCCGCACAAGUAGUGGAGCAUGUGGUUUAAUUCGAAGAUACGCGCAGAACCUUACCAACACUUGACAUGUUCGUCGCGACUUUAAGAGAUUAAAGUUUUCGGUUCGGCCGGACGAAACACAGGUGCUGCAUGGCUGUCGUCAGCUCGUGUCGUGAGAUGUUGGGUUAAGUCCCGCAACGAGCGCAACCCUCACUUUUAGUUGCCAUCAUUAAGUUGGGCACUCUGAAAGAACUGCCAGUGAUAAGCUGGAGGAAGGUGGGGAUGACGUCAAGUCCUCAUGGCCCUUACGUGUUGGGCUACACACGUGCUA
rnacentral:rRNA from 1 species